AGUGAACGCUGGCGGUAGGCCUAACACAUGCAAGUCGAACGGAAGCACAGUAAGAGCUUGCUCUUACGGGUGGCGAGUGGCGGACGGGUGAGAAAUACAUCGGAAUCUACUUUUUCGUGGGGGAUAACGGAGGGAAACUUACGCUACUACCGCAUACGACCUACGGGUGAAAGCAGGGGAUCUUCGGACCUUUCGCGAUUGAAUGAGCCGAUGUCGGAUUAGCUAGUUGGCGGGGUAAAGGCCCACCAAGGCGACGAUCCGUAGCUGGGCUGAGAGGAUGAUCAGCCACACUGGGACUGAGACACGGUCCAGACUCCUACGGGAGGCAGCAGUGGGGAAUAUUGGACAAUGGGCGCAAGCCUGAUCCAGCCAUACCGCGUGGGUGAAGAAGGUCUUCGGGUUGUAAAGCCCUGUUGUUGGGAAAGAAAAGCAGCAGGUUAAUACCCCGCUGUUCUGACGGUACCCAAAGAAUAAGCACCGGCUAACUUCGUG
rnacentral:rRNA from 1 species